UGCAAGUCGAGCGGUAAGGCCCUUUCGGGGGUACACGAGCGGCGAACGGGUGAGUAACACGUGGGUGACCUGCCCUCAGCUCUGGGAUAAGCCUGGGAAACUGGGUCUAAUACUGGAUAUGACCUCAUGACGCAUGUUGGGGGGUGGAAAGCCUUGUGCGGCUGGGGAUGGGCCCGCGGCCUAUCAGCUUGUUGGGGGGGUGAUGGCCUACCAAGGCAACGACGGGUACCCGGCCUGAGAGGGCGACCGGCCACACUGGGACUGAGACCCGGCCCACACUCCUACGGGAGGCAGCGGUGGGUAAUCUUGCGCAAUGGGCGAAAGCCUGACGCACCGACGCCGCGUGAGGGAUGACGGCCUUCGGGUUGUAAUCCUCUUUCCCCUCCAACAAAGCGUAAGUGACGGUAGGGGCAAAAAAAGCACCGGCCAACUACGUGCCACCAGCCGCGGUAAUACGUAGGGUGCAAGCGUUGUCCGGAAAUUAUUUGGGCGUAAAGAGCUCGUAGGCGGUCUUGUCGCGUCGGGCUGUGGAAAACUUCGGGGCUUCAACUCCGAGCUUGCAGUCGAUACGGGCAGGCUAGAGUUCGGCAGGGGAGACUGGAAUUCCUGGGGGUAGCGGUGAAAUGCGCAGAUAUCAGGAGGAACACCCGUUGGCGAAGGCGGGUCUCUGGGCCGAUACUGACGCUGAGGAGCGAAAGCGUGGGGAGCGAACAGGAUUAGAUACCCUGGUAGUCCACGCCGUAAACGUUGGGCGCUAGGUGUGGGAUCCCUUCCACGGGUUCCGUGCCGCAGCUAACGCAUUAAGCGCCCCGCCUGGGGAGUACGGCCGCAAGGCUAAAACUCAAAGGAAUUGACGGGGGCCCGCACAAGCGGCGGAGCAUGUGGAUUAAUUCGAUGCAACGCGAAGAACCUUACCUGGGUUUGACAUACACCGGAAAGCCGUGGAGACAUGGCCUCCGCAAGGCCGGUGUACAGGUGGUGCAUGGCUGUCGUCAGCUCGUGUCGUGAGAUGUUGGGUUAAGUCCCGCAACGAGCGCAACCCUCGUCCCAUGUUGCCAGCGGGUUAUGCCGGGGACUCAUGGGAGACUGCCGGGGUCAACUCGGAGGAAGGUGGGGACGACGUCAAGUCAUCAUGCCCCUUAUGUCCAGGGCUUCACACAUGCUACAAUGGCCGGUACAAAGGGCUGCUAAGCCGUAAGGUGGAGCGAAUCCCACAAAGCCGGUCUCAGUUCGGAUCGGGGUCUGCAACUCGACCCCGUGAAGUCGGAGUCGCUAGUAAUCGCAGAUCAGCAACGCUGCGGUGAAUACGUUCCCGGGCCUGUACACACUGCCCGUCACAAGGCGAA
rnacentral:rRNA from 1 species